GGGGACCGAAAUGAUGCAGGGCAGUGGGCGCUAGAGUGAAGCGGUGACUGUGAGUGUUGACUGAGUCUCUGCUCUAGUGGGGCUGAUGUGGGAGGCAGGGAUGAGGGCAAGAUUUCACGCACCAAUUGAAUUUUUUGUAGUGAGGGCUCUUGGUUGGCGUAUUUGCUGCAUUUGUAGAGGAAUUGUCCUGGAGCAGCAGCCGGAGGAGAAAUUGGCAGACGUGGGCCUGUGAGGAGCCUGGACAUUCUUCUAAGGAGACAUGAACAGUCCUCAGCUUUCUGCCUCGUGCAUAACUGGCUGUGGGUUUGGUGUGUCUGACCAGAGUCAUCUGUGCAGAGUGACUAUUUCAGUACCAAGGGAAAAGAAGUGACAAGUCAGAGUCUACUGCCCUCAUGUGAUGGAAAGCGAGCGAGAGUGAUGGGACUGCGAGAAUUAUUGAUGCCUUGAAAAAGCCGUCCAACGGGGAAUGGAACAGUCAUCACUGUCAAUGAGAUAAGUGUCUGUUUUGGUGAUUGCUCUGCUCACGGCCCACCUUGCUCCUGAAAGGGAUGCCCCAUUUGCUGAGGCUGUGUUUGUAAGAAAAGGUUCCUGACUAGCUGUGGUUUUGAGAGAGAGAAGAUCCCCAUUUUUAGGGGCUGCUCAGUUUUCUGGCCAGGAGCAGUGUGUCCUACGCAGCAGAAGGUUGCAUCGAGGAGAAUGAGUCCAGGUGGUGAAUUGCCUUUCUCUCGUGUUUCUCUCUUCUCUAGUGUGUUGGCCAACACGCUUUCUCAAUCUGUCCUUGCCUUUCCUUGUGCUGUCUCCCUUCUUAGGAUAUUGGCAGGCGAGCUAGGUGUGCACCCCCACAGGUUGUGUCUUGGGAGCCAUAAAGAAGUAGGAGGGGACAAAAAUCAUGCAGGGCAGUCGGUGCGAGACUGGAGCGGUGACUGUUGGUGUUGUGGGGCUAAGACAGAUCGAAAGCGAUGCAGGGAAGAGGGCCUUAAUUGGGCUCUAUGUAGUACAGGAGUUCUCAAACUGGGGUUUAGGUCCCGUCAGGGGGCUGCAAGGUUGUUAUUUGGGGGGUUGUGAAAUGUUAUCCUCCAUCCUAAACAUCACUUUACUUCCAGCAUUUAUAAUGGUGUUGAAUAUACAAAAAGUGUUUUUAAUUUAUAAGGGGAGGGUCACACUCAGAAGCUUGCUAUGUAAAAGGGAUCAUCAGUACAAAAGGUUGAGAACCACUGG